UUCGACUGGGAAUAAAAGGUACAUGUAAAUUGAACCCGGAAUGUUGAUUUAACGGCGUUUUCGGGAGAUGCAAAGGAUAUGAUUGGCGGGGGAGUUGUGACGUUCCCCGCCAAAAUCCCCGCCAAGUUUGGGCCGAUUGAGGGCUGAGUUGGCGGGGAUUUUUUU
rnacentral:sRNA from 1 species